rnacentral:rRNA from 1 species
GAUGAACGCUAGCGGCAGGCUUAACACAUGCAAGUCGAGGGGUAACGUGAGUGCUUGCACUUGACGACGACCGGCGCACGGGUGCGUAACGCGUAUAGAACCUACCUUUUAGUAAGGGAUAGCCCAGAGAAAUUUGGAUUAAUACCUUAUAGUAUCAAAAUGCAGCAUUGUAUUAUGAUUAAAGAUUUAUUGCUAAAAGAUGGCUAUGCGUUUUAUUAGUUAGUUGGUAAGGUAACGGCUUACCAAGACCUCGAUAGAUAGGGGCCCUGAGAGGGGGAUCCCCCACACUGGUACUGAGACACGGACCAGACUCCUACGGGAGGCAGCAGUGAGGAAUAUUGGACAAUGGAGGCAACUCUGAUCCAGCCAUGCCGCGUGUAGGAAGACUGCCCUAUGGGUUGUAAACUACUUUUAUAGAGGAAGAAACGGCUUUACGUGUAAAGUUUUGACGGUACUCUACGAAUAAGGAUCGGCUAACUCCG